rnacentral:misc_RNA from 1 species
AACGCACAUUGCGCCCCUUGGUAUUCCGAGGGGCAUGCCUGUCCGAGCGUCAUUUCAACCCUCAAGCACGGCUUGGUCUUGGGCUUCGCUGCUAACCCAGCGGGUCUUAAAAUCAGUGGCGGUGCCGUCGGGCCCUGAGCGCAGUACAUCUCCUCGCUAUAGGGUCCCGGUGGAUACUAGCCAUCAACCCCCAACUUCUAUGGUUGACCUCGGAUCAGGUAGGGAUACCCGCUGAACUUAA